rnacentral:misc_RNA from 1 species
UGGGUUUGACAUGUACGGAAGCCUCCAGAGAUGGAGGUGUGCCCGAAAGGGAACCGUAACACAGGUGCUGCAUGGCUGUCGUCAGCUCGUGUCGUGAGAUGUUGGGUUAAGUCCCGCAACGAGCGCAACCCUUGCCAUUAGUUGCUACAUUCAGUUGAGCACUCUAAUGGGACUGCCGGUGACAAACCGGAGGAAGGUGGGGAUGACGUCAGUGCUUGCCU